CAAAAACUGUCUUUUUUUUAACCAGAUUGAAUGACUGUGGUUCACAGAUCGGCCACUUGGGCAGAUCAUGCAGUGGAUCAUUAGAUUAAUGUUGAAUUUAAAGCAGAAAAUGAGCAAAAAACACAAUGAUAAGGACUCGUGGGGAUCUAUUGCAGCUGUGAAUAAUCAAUCAAUCAGGAAACAUCCUGUACGAGAAGCAGCUAUGACGUCAUCACACAGCUGAGAUUUUAACAUCUGUGAUUGUGCCUCUUUGUUGUCGAUAAAGAACAUUUCUGAAGGGGGGAAAACAGCAUAAAAAUGAGGAAAUUACGCACAGGAUGACCAAAAGGAAGAACUUUAAGGUGUUUGUAUUUUUUUUAAGAGUCAAAAGAAGGCUAUCGAGGUGUGAUCGUACAUUUUAUUCAUUAAAAACAUUUGUUCAAUUACAUUGUUUCCAACAUUACAUCGUUUUGGCAAUCGAUCAUGAGAGGAAGGCAUCCUGCUAACAUGGACCCGCCGCCGGUGUCAGGAACAUCAGUGUCGGUUCUCUGGUUGCGCCGUUUAAAAACCGAACUUCACGGAGACACCGGAGAGAGAUAUCAGCCGGAACGCACACACACACGUCCACUGAUCCACACACACACUCACAAACACGCACACUGGUAUUGUAGAAAAAUAGUGAUCACCACUUGAAUCCAGCUUCAACUGAUUCAAGACUUUUCCAUACAAAAAAAAAUAAAGGGGGGAGAAAUAAAUGAAGGGAAUCGCUGUGAGCGAUCAAUUAAGGUCAAGACAAGCACAAUGUAACAGCCUUGAGGCUUCAACAUGACUUUCAAAAGGAGUCCUGAAUAUCAAAGGAAAAAAAUCAAACAAACAGAAUGUGCCCAUGUGUGAACAUCUGAUAGCAGCAUCGGAAUAUUUUGCACUGUGGGUUAGACACUUAAGCAGAAUGAGCAGCAGCAGGCAGUUCAGCAUCAACUACACAUGGAGCACCGCUGUUUGGGAAUUCACCAGAUCGUUCCUGUAUUGCUCCAGCCAGUUUCUGAGCUCAGAGAUCCGGUACCCCUCCGGGCCCCGGCCCCCCUGGUACACCACCCUCUCAUCCCUCACGAUGUAAAGUCUCUCAAAGUAGGCUCCGUACGCGGCGUUGGACGAGUUGUCCAUAUUAUCCACCACCACGUUGCCGCCCGGCACCUCGCUGAGCAUCAGCUGAGCGGCUCUCAGUCUGUCCUCCAAGCAGCGGUGCUUGGGGAUCUGGAACGGAGCGUCCGAGCUCACCCAGCCGUCCGACGGAUGCGCCUCCUCGAUAUAUACAACUAAAAAGUCCGCAAUGUCCGCGUACUGACUCACGACGCGCUGAAACGCCGCCAGACGCGUCAUGAAUGGCGGUCAGGAGCAGCUGCCAAAGUUCAGAAUGAGCGGUCUCUUCCCUUUCAUACGGUCCAGGAUCCGGACCUGCCUGCGCUCCUGGACCAGAACCACCUCGGUGUUGGGCGCAGCGUGGCCAAGGUGCGCGGAUUUGAGAAAGUCCAGUUUCUGGCCGUACCACACGGCCCGGAGCGACUCCAAGGUGAACAUCUUGUUGGAGUCGGAGACGCACACCGGCGGGUCGUCCGAGCCGUCCUGCCUCUCUCCCAUUUUCAGCAGCACUUUUUUCCGAAUGCACAAGAAAUCCAGGAGCCACAGCAUGACGGCGGCCAGCAGGAACCGGGGCAGCAGCAUCAGGCUCAGGGCUGCGUGCUUCAGCGCCCUCGCCAUUUGGACUCCGCCGGUGUCGUCCAUCAUCUCUUCCCUCCUGCCGAUAGGACGAGACUGAGCCGGCGAGAGAGGCAACUAGUAUUUAGUCACCUUUAGCCAUUGGAGAAAACUAUCUGACGCACACAGGCGCUCUUUUUAUAGGUAGGCAACAACAUUUGAAUAAUGGAAAAAAAAAAAAAAGAACACAACACGCCUCCGGUACCCGCACCGCCCACUCACAUGGUGGGGAUUACCUCCCGUCAACUCCGGGCUUCAAAGAUCCAGAGACAGAGGAGGGGGAGCCCGCAGCAGCCCGGAGAAGAGCGUAUUCAUGUGCGCACAGGACGUGACACUUCAUUUCUCUUUAUUUACAGUGUCGCGGGACACUCGCAGCGCUUCCA
ensembl:lncRNA